CUAAAUCCCUUCAUGCAACUUUCAUUGAACUUGUGCUUGCACAUUCUUGAACAUUCCUUGUUUGCAGGUACAGCUUCUCUAAAUCUCUUCCCAAGCUGCGGAAUGCACUCAAAUGCCAGAAUCUAGACACAAAAACAUAAAAGUAAAUGCAAGUUCACAAUAACAAAAUCUAGCCACUCAUAUAAUUUACUCGACUACUUACCUUAAGUGGAGUAAUAAAUCCAUAAAAAGCAGUAUGUGUCUUGGGUUUCACCACACCUUUCAUGUUCUUCAUUACUCUCUGCACCCCUUCCAUACACUGCUCAAAGGAAAAACGUCCCCACGGGAAUGUCUCACAAGCUCUGACAUUAUCCACAAUCCUAAGAAGCAACUCCUCUAUCUUCGAAUCCCCUUUAGAAUCAGCUUUCAUAACCUUAGCUAAGAAUAACAGAAUUGCCAACUUCAACCUAGCAGUAGACUUCUCACUCUUAAACUCUUCCAGCUUCUCUUCCACGUCUUUAAUCUUGAUGUCCUCAGUCCUCUUAAACAACUUCUCAACAAACUUCAAACUGCCUAAAGUCUUAUUGUUUUUUGGGUACUCACGGCAGUUCAAACCGGUCAACAAUGCAUGCUCUCUAAUUGAGUACCUUAUAGGUACUCCAUUGACAACAAACCAACACUCUCUCGCCAAUUCUGUCUUAGCCGUGCGAACCAUAAGCAUCCACAUGCCUUGAAUCAUGUGAUUGGGCUCCUUAGGCAUGUGGAAUAUGUGCUUAAAUUGGUCAUGAUUCCUAAACCACUUCAGUUCUUCAUCCAAAGUCUCUAUAAAUUCCACUGUUUGUACCAACUGACACCUCGUUCCUAUCUUACACACCUUCGUGUAGGUAGUUGGAUCAAAGUACAUAACUUCUGGCGGCAAUGGUUGAUUAUCAUCAUCAUCAUCAUCAUCAUCCUGCAUAUUCUGCGGCAGGUUAUCAUCAUCACCAUCAUGCAUAUUCUGCGGCAGGUUAUCAUCAUCACCAUCAUCCUGCAUAUUCAAUUCAAAAUACUUUCAAUUCCACAUUAACUACCUAGUUGUACUACUUGUUCCUGAAUGACCAUUCACAAAUUUACGACCUAGUUGUACUACUUGUUUUAUCUGAAGCAGCAUUCACAAAUCCAAUCAUUUACCAAUGCAUAAUAUCCUAAAACGAGCCUAAUACAAAAAAUAACGGUCUUCUAUCAUACCUUAUUUGCUCCAUCAUCAUGUUGAACAACUGCAUUCGUUGCUUCUUCUUCUUCUGCACAAGAAUCGGCAUUUGGGUCUGAAAGAUCGUCAAUUGACUCCCAUGCGACGGCGUUUGAAUUACCCAAAUCGGCGGCGUCACAACCGCCGGUUGUAGGCUGAAUUUCUCCGGCUUCCUCUUCUGUUGUAAGAAGCUCUGCGCCUUCUUCAUCUCUUUGGGGAAUCUCGGCGGCUGUCUCUUCGACUGAUGGAGGAAUUUCGCCGGUCGUUUCAACCCUAGUUGAUUCAUAUUCUCCAGAUGAGUCUUUUACUCUAGCCAUAUGAAAGAGACAAAGACGAACGAAAACGGAGAAGAAAGAAGAAUAGAAGAGAUUGAUUUUUCCGGUGAAAUUGGUGUCGUCGGAGACGAGAGAAGACGACGACGGAGAGAAGAGGAAGAAGUCGAGAAGUGAAAAGGGGGAAGAACUUAGGUUUUUUCUGUAGUUUCUAGGGUAAAUAAUACAACUGGGCCGAGUAUUUACAUUUUUCUUUGGGCCCGAGUCCAACAAAUUAAGUUUUCUUGUAGUUUUCGUGGUUUCGCAAGGGUUUUUCGUCCUUUCCUCAAUUUUCGAUUUUAAUAAAAAUCAAUAAUAUUAUUCCAAACAUAAGAAUGGCACGAGUGAUUAUUUCUUCUCCAAUAAUGGCAUAAGAGGUGAGCUCUCCGGAGAAGACAACAGAAGAAGUCAAUUGUGUUAAAUAGAUGACAACGUCCAAUAUUUUUGUAAUAUUACACUUUUACACCCCCAUGUUUUGAAAGUACAAGUACACCCAAUAAAUUUUUGAAAUAAGCUCACAACCCCCAUUAGGCCCAAAGAGAAAAACUAAAUGGUAGAUUAACCACUUGAUAAAUUAAACAGAGAAUAACGGUAUAUUUCUUUGAAUAAUUUCCGAAGUGAGUAUAGCCGUCGAUACGUUUAGGAUGAAGUGUUUGGGUACUCAUUCAGAUUUGGUUCUGGUCUUUUUGUUCCAAUUUAGUU
rnacentral:sRNA from 1 species